CGGAGUUAUCCCUCAGGGAGUGAAAAGAGAAAAAAGAAAGUGCAUGAAAAUGAACAGCAGCAACAGCAGUCAGGUAACUCUCCUCUCCGGGUGGGAGAGUGGGAGGGACGGGGCUAGUCCGUGUUUGACCUACAUAACAGGGCGGUGAGCCCUGGGUGAACCCCGGAUGGUCUCCGUGUGCUAUGCUUAAGUUCCUAACAAGCAGCACGGAGUCCAGUCAGUCAGCCAGUGGAGGGACAGACCCAGAUAAGAGAGGCACAGAUGAGCCACCUUCAACCAGCAGCAGCACAGAUCCAGUACAGCCACCGUUAAGUACCUGUGUACAGCAAGCAUCAGAAGCUAGCUCAGACCCUAAAGCAACAGUCUCUGCUCCACCAAAUGAUCCAGCAGACUGGCCCCCAGUCUUAACGGACUGUAUGCGGACUGAGUUAGUGCGCAGAGGUCCAUUCAAGCCAGGAGUGGAUUUUUCUUACCCCAAAGACAAGUCCAGAAGAGGGUUCCAUCCAGGAUUAUUACAGAGACGACUGUCAAAUGGUGAAAAGAUUACCAGGAGCUGGCUUUCACACUUAGUGAAAAACAACGCUGUGUAAUGUUUUUGCUGUAAACUCUUUUCCACAAAAAACACAAAAUAAUAGGAGAAGGUGUUAAUGACUGGUCAAAUAUCAACGCCAUUCUGAAGCAGCAUGAGGGUAGUCCUAAACACACAAGCAAUAUGAUUAAGUGGAGAGAACUUGAUCUGGAAGUCGUGGAAAAACACUACACCACAUAGAAAUGACAGCUUUGGAGGCUGAAAGAAAGAGAUGGCGAGAUGUCCUUACACGCCUCAUAAGUAUCACACAGUCUCUAGCUGAAAGAAACCUAGCAUUCAGAGGUUCAUCAGAUAAGCUCUUCCAACCAGAUAAUGGAAACUUUCUAAAAGAGGUUGAAUUAUUAGCUAAAUUUGACCCUGUUUUGGAAAAUCAUGUCAGCAGCAUUAAAGACGGAGAAACGCAUGCUCAUUACCUUAGUAAAGACAUACAGAAUGAGCUGAUACAGCUUGUGAGUGACAGGAUUCUCACAACUAUUGUGACUCAAGUGAGAGACUCAAAAUACUUCUCCAUUAUCUUGGACUGUACACCUAACAUUAGUCACCAGGAGCAGAUGUCCAUUAUCGUCAGAAGUUUGGCUUUAAAGGGACAGCCAGAGAUAAAGGAGCACUUCCUCAGCUUUGUGAAUGUUGAUGCUACAACUGGCUUAAGUCUGUCUACAGUCAUCUUGGACAAGCUGACUGAUCUGAAAAUUCCAUUUGACAAUAAGGGCAAGCCUAUGAAAAUGGGGCCAAUAUGAAAGGUAAACACCAAGGAGUACAAGCCAGACUGUUGAGAAUGAAUCCCAGAGCUGUGUUUGUUCCAUGUGGUGCACACACAUUAAACCUCGUCAUUGCAGAUGCUGCCAAAUCCUCCAAAGAUGCUGUUGUUUUUUUUGGCUAUGUACAAAAGCUGUUCACCUUUUUUUCUGCUGGCACACAAAGGUGGAAUAUCUUGAAACAACAUGUGAACAUAACAGUGAAGUCAUGGACUGACACAAGAUGGGAGAGCAGGCUUCAAAGUGUCCAUGCAGUCAGAUAUCAGGCCUCUGAGAUUCGAGAAGCCUUACUGGAAGCCAGGCAGAAGAUUAAUGAUCCUGUGGCGAAAGUGGAGGCACAGUCACUUGCAGAGGAAGUUGGUUCUUACUGCUUCUUAAUUUGCUGUGUAGUGUGGUGUGAGAUACUGUCAAGAACAAAUACAGUGAACAAGCUCCUCCAAUCUGCUUCAAUGCAGCUUGACGUAGCUGUGCAGUUAAUCUCAAAUGCAAAAGACAACAGCCCGAAGCAUUUGUGAGGAAAUGAAUGCAGAAGCUGUUUUGAAGGACAAGAGGCUGAGAACCAGCAAAAAGCAUUUUAGCUACGAAGCACCUGAUGAGCCAGUGGCUGAUGCACUGCGGAAUCUUGAGGUCAACUUCUUCAACAUUGUGGUUGACUCCACAAUAGCAUCCAUUGAUGAACGAUUUGAAACUCUGAACCAGGUGAAGACUAAAUAUGGAGUAGUGCUGAACUUCAGCACUGCAUGUCAGAUGUCCAGUGGCUCCUUAAAGGCUCAGUGUAUGGAACUGGAGUAAACUCCAGUAUGUAGUAGUACUAAAUGUACCUGACCUACCAUCAGCUAAUAUGACUGCCUUUGAGCUGCUUUCUUUCCUUUGUGAGAAAAAUCGGGAGGAACUCUAUCCUAACCUUUGGGUAGCCCUGAGAAUUGCUGUCACUCCGCCUGUGACAGUCGCCUCAGCUGAGAGGAGCUUCAGCAAGUUAAAAAUGAUCAAAAACUAUCUGAGAUCUUCCAUGUCCCAGGAACGUCUGAGUGGUUUGGCCCUCAGGAGCAUUACCAUGAUGUGGGGAAGCAAAUAUCAUAUGAUGACAUUAUUGAUGAUUUUGCAUCCAGAAAGUGCAGAAAGGGACACUUUUAAUGGUGAGUAAUUUGUUACACAUUUAGUUCGAUUUGAUUUGGUCUGUUGAGAUAUGUGCAUUAUGUACUCAGUUAUAUAUGUGAUGUAAUGCUGUACGUAGUAUAUAUAUAUGUGUAUGACACAUGGUGGCGCUAAGCUACAGACUAUAAAAGGGUGAACUGCGUUAUGAUAGUUCAGUAGUUGGUGAAGUAGCUCUGACCGUGAGACUGAUGUGUCAGAUCAGCCUGAAUAAAUACGCCAAGAACGGCUAAAGAUA